rnacentral:lncRNA from 1 species
AGCAUAUUUUUGGAACACCAACUGGACCAUGAAACAAACAUAUAUAGCAAGCCAAGAAAAGGAGGAAUCAUGAUGCCACAAUGAAAAGAGUAAGUCCAAUGGACACAACUACAGAAGCACAUGUCAUAGGACAAGAUGCAAAAUCUAUAUAUCAAUUAGAUAUAGAAACAAAAACAGGAAAGAGUAAUCAUAAUGAUCUGAGUAUGUUGUAGAUUUCCUACUGAAAUUAUAAUUUAAUCAAUUUAAUGUCAAGAGAAAUGCAAUGAGGAAAGGGCCUGUAACAUGGAGUUGGUCCAACCCAGCCUCUCUAAUUCAUGAAACAGUAAGUUAAUUGUCACAGUCUUCUAGUUAUUAAUGGUCCUGCGUCACUAAUCUCAACCAACGCCAAAAGUUUGUGAUCCCAUGAAUGUACUAAGCGAUUUCCAUCAAGCCUGGACCAGCUCUCUUAGAUACCCCUGCCAAAAAUAGGAAAAUAGAACUAUGAAUACUCUCAGCUUACACAAAAUAAAACACUAUGCAGGACAUGAUAGACACUUAGAAUUGCAAAGUUCAUUCGAUGUCAUAAAGCAAAAGACUAAGAACCAUUAUGUACCAACCUGGACGUUGCCUCUUACUCCCUUAGAUAUCAUGGUUCAACAAAUAAACCUCUUACUCCCUAGAAAUAGUAAAUCCUGCCUUCAUCAAUUACAGGGAGGAGCUUCCAACUGGAUUUGAAGGACCAUUUGUAUUAUACCCCCCCUAUACCAAUAUAAAAAACAACAAUCUUUUCACCAUCAAUAGUUAUCCUGCAACAUCAUUCAACUCUCACAUGAUUUAGAGAGAGUAGUAAUGAAGCACAGAUAAUAACAUUUGUCAGAAAAGAGUAGGAGAGAAACAAACAGAGUACAAUUUGAAUGCUCGGAACAAUCAAAUUAAACACUACAGGGAAAACUAAGAACAAUCAACCUUAACUACUGUAGGGAAGAUAAAAGUCGUCUCAAAUUAACUGCUAUUGGCUUUACUAAUCUACUAUUGUUCAGACUAAUUAUCAACUACUACAGGAAAAACCAAGAACAAUUGACCGCAACUAUUGCAUGAAAGAUAAAGCAUUCUCAAAUUCUUUUUUCUUUCCGAGUUGAAUGACUCCAUCCAGACCAAAUGACCAAGCUGGUCAUAAAAAGGGACAUAAAAAAAUGUCGAUAGAAGUGAAUCAGUAAAAACAAAAACAAAAAACUGUAUGCGAAUAAUCAAGAUGGG